rnacentral:tRNA from 1 species
GGGCCUGUAGCUCAGUUGGUUAGAGCCGUCGACUCAUAAUCGACUGGUCGCCGGUUCGAUCCCGGCCGGGCCCACCA